AGUGAACGCUGGCGGUAGGCCUAACACAUGCAAGUCGAACGGACGCACAGUAAGAGCUCGCUCUUACGGGUGGCGACUGGCGGACGGGUGAGGCGUACAUAGGAAUCUAAUUUUUCGUGGGGGAUUACGUAGGGACACUUACGCUAAUACCGCAUACGACCUACGGGUGAAAUCAGGGGAUCUUCGGACCUUGGGUGAUUCAUUGAGCCGAUGCCGGAUUACCUUGUUGGCGUGGUAAAGGCCCACCAAGGCGACGCACCGUAGCUGGUCUGAAGAGAUGAACCGCCACACUGGAACUGAGACACGGUCCAGACCCCUACGGGAAGCAGCAGGGGGGAAUAUUGGACAAUGGGCGGAAGCCUGAUCCAGCCAUACCGCGUGGGUGAAGAAGGCCUUCCGGUUGGAAAGCCCUUUUGAUGGGGAAGAAAAGCAGCAGGUUAAUACCCCGCUGUUCUGACGGUACCCAAAGAAUAAGCACCGGCUAACUUCGUG
rnacentral:rRNA from 1 species